UACGGAGGAUGCAAGCGUUAUCCGGAUUUAUUGGGUUUAAAGGGUGCGCAGGUUGUUUGAUAAGUCAGUGGUGAAAGUCUGUCGCUUAACGGUAGGAUUGCCAUUGAUACUGUUGGACUUGAAUAUGGAUGAGGUAGACGGAAUGUGUAGUGUAGCAGUGAAAUGCAUAGAUAUUACACAGAACACCGAUUGCGAAGGCAGCUUACUAAUCCAUCAUUGACGCUGAGGCACGAAAGCGUGGGGAUCAAA
rnacentral:rRNA from 1 species